CUGCCAAAUUUCCACAGCAAUAUCACACAAGGGAGUGGAAUGUCCAUGGGGUGCCCAAGCUGAGCCACUGCCGGCCUCCCUUGGGGUGCUGCUCCUUUCUCCGCUGCCAGGGAACACUUGGGUAGCACCAGCUUGGGACAGGGUGGCCCGAGACCUGGAGGCCAUCUUGGGCCAGACUUCAGCCAGCUUAGGACUCAGGUUACGGUGACCACCUGGCCAACCGGCUCCAGAUGCUGGACAGGGCAAAGGCUGUGGUUAGAGUCAGAUCCUCGCCAGCUCCUUGCAGAUCAGAGGGCCUGGGGCAAAGGGAUGCCAGAAACACAGGGAGCCUCGUCCUAGGUCCUGGCCUCUGCCAAAGGCGGUGGCAGGGCGGGAGCAGUAAUAAAGAUGUUUAAUGAGCGCUAAUGAUACUAAGAGCUUUACCGGGACUAACUCAUCUAAUCCUGCCAUCCGACCCAUGAGUUAUCAACCCCAUCUACGUGAGGAAAUCGAGGCUCAGACAGCUUGCCCAGCUCACACCGCCAGUCGGCGAGGAGACGCUGACAAUAGAACCCCGGACUCUCGGCUGCCGCCCCGGACCCCAUGCACUGCACCACCCAGCCUCCUCCCGCGGGCCGCGCGCCAGCCUCCCCGUGCGCGGAAUCGGGAAAGAAGUCCUGUCCGACUCCAGUCCGCCCCUGAAAGCUCCUUUCGAUUGCGGAGCUGCGCUGCCUCCUGUCUCCUCCCUCUCUGUCCCCUUCCCUCCAGGUUUCCAGGAGGGAGCUGGUGGGGGAGGGGGAGGUUAGCGCCCCGCGCCCCCCGCGGCCGACCCGGCCCCCAUCCCCGCGCCGCCCGGUCCGGUCCCUGUUACAGCGUGUGGGCGGCGAUCCAGCAGGAGGAGGAGCAGAUCCACAGGCCGAAGGAGAUGCAGACGCGGUGGCGGGCGAAGCAGCGGUCCAGGAGUCGCUGGUGUUGCUGCUGAAAGGUCACAGGGUCUCUUCCAGGAGGAGGAUGACAGUACAGAAGUUUACCCUACAAAGACAACAAGAAAAGUAACAGCACAUGACAGGUGCCUUGUGUGUUAUCCCAGAAGAAAAAGACCUCUGAGAAGCUAUCUCCGCCAGGCACCCUCUGGCAAGCUUCCUGCUUUUUGUUGCAGAGAGCUGAGCAGAGUUCUGUCACCUAUAACCACAGCCCUAACGAACACACGACUGUGCUCCUUUUUACCUUGUCUGCAUUUUCUACAGAAGUGUUCUUCAGUACACUGACAUGAGUAGACUUAGGGUAAAUAUUUUCCAAAACAAAAACCAGGACACAACUGCAAAGUGGGACGAUACUAAUGGGGACAUUGGGCUGGCCGUGGUUGCUCACUGGGCGCAGAUUUUCCACUUCCCACUGUAAGCACUCUAUAAACUGUGGUUGGUUUUAACUCAUCUUCCGUGGUUUUAUAAAUGGUGAAUCAAUACAUAAUUUAUCCAUACGAAUAUUCUACUAACUUCUUUCUUCCAGAACUGAAGGCGAGAGGGUAUGCUGCCCAAUCUGACUCCUGUGCUUGCCAGAGCUCUGCUGACAUGGCACUGAGAAGGCCAAACAAAGCCAAAUCCUCAUAACCAGUUAUUACUGGAGAUCCAGAAUGCUUUGUUUGUGAAAAGAAUUCAGCUUAACCCAUAAAUACUAUUGGGGGUUAAUUAUGCGCGAGGCCCUGAGCUUAGUGGUGUGUGUGUCUCCACAUACUUGUAUUUUUCUCAUUUAUUUCCCAUAAUAAUCUCAUGAGAUAGGUACUAUUAAUUCUUAUUUUACUUACAAGGAAAACCCCAAACUUGGCAACUGUUCAUUUGUAACAUGAGAAUAAUAACCUCAUAGACUCGCUGUGUAUUUUUAACGAGGUGACACAAAGAAAACAUUUCACACUGCCCUCAGCAGGGCUCGCUGGGAGUGCUGCUGUUAUGAGGGCAUGCGCAGGGAGAAAGGCACAUGACCAGCUACACUGCAGGGAGGGCGGGGACACAGCUGUCACAGGAACCAGCAAGGGCUGUGGGAGAUGGAAAAGCCAGAGGCACCAUUUUCUCACUUUCACCGAUGACAGGUUCAGCGCCCUCUUGCCUCGCCUUACGCUGCUCGUGACAUGCCAGGUCCAGAUGACGCUAGCUGCCCUGGUCAAGAACGUCUGGCCAAGGCUGUGGAUCCCCUUACCCAGAAGAGCCGCGAGAACCUUGCCCAUGUGGCCUCUCUGACAACACAACCUCAGUGAGGAAGUAUCUCCUUUCUAACUUAACAGGCUGCCGGCAUCUAAAAGCACAGUGUGAGAACGAAGGCCUAUCUACUCCAGAGCAACAAGGAGCCAGGCUCACUUACGUUGACGUAGUCCUUCAGGAUAUAGCGAGCAGACCGAGGCUGGUCUGGCUGCCCAUGCGCUGUCAUGAAUCCUCGCAUGUCUGUUUAGGCAAAUAACGGUGCAAAACCGAAGUCACAACAAAGACAACCAGGUAGACAAAGGUUCCUCCAGACCACCUUUAAAGUUUCUAUUUAAGUUAUUCAUGGACAUGCUCCAUCUGACCAUCCCCCCAACUGAAUCUGGCAAGGGCAGGAUCCACAGCUGAUUGAUGCCUAUAGCCUCCAUGGAACCCAGCCUAACCUGGCUUGUGAUAAAGAAAUUAAACUGGGGUGCAUGAAAAGCUGUGGCCUUCAGGGAGGUCAUGAAGGAUCAUGUCAAGAACUGUAACUUACCCUACCUAGGAACUAACAGAUUAGUGUGCUGGUCUCAGGGAGUUGCCUGUCUCCCGCCAGCACACACAGAAUAGUAAACAGGCAAACAUGCUGGCUUAUAAGAACAGUAAAACCUUAAGACGCCAUGGUUCUU